rnacentral:rRNA from 1 species
AUGGUGCGAGGCCUGCCAUGCCUCGACCAUGUGGGGCAGUUCUGCGACAUCUGCAUGAUGACGAAGCAGAGACGACUCCCCUUUCCCCAACAGGCGAGUUUUCGGGCCAAGGAGAGGCUGGAGCUCGUGCACGGAGACCUGUGCGGCCCGGUGACGCCAGCCACACCAGGAGGUCGACGCUACUUCCUGCUGCUCGUCGACGAUCUCUCCCGUUACAUGUGGGUGAUGAUCCUCGGCAGUAAGGGAGAGGCGGCGGACGCCAUCAGGCGCGCGCAGGUUGGUGUGGAGGCGGAGAGCGGCCGCAAAUUGCGCGUGUUGCGCACUGACAACGGCGGCGAAUUCACGACGGCUGAAUUCGCGUCGUACUGCGCUGAUGAGGGCAUCCAGCGCCACUACUCCGCGCCGUACAGCCCGCAGCAAAACGGCGUCGUCGAGCGGCACAACCAGACGGUUGUGGGGAUGGCUCGGGCUCUCAAGCAGAUAGGGAUGCCGGCUGUCUUCUGGGGAGAGGCGGUGCUAACAGCCGUCUACAUCCUCAACCGCUCGCCUACCAAGGCACUCGAUGGCAGGACACCGUACGAGGCCUGGCAUGGGCGGAAGCCGGCGGUCUCCCACUUGCGGGUCUUUGGCUGCCUUGCGUUCGCCAAGGAGCUCGGCCACAUCGGCAAGCUCGACGACAGGAGCACUCCGGGAGUCUUCAUCGGCUACGCGGAGGGCUCAAAGGCCUACCGCAUCCUCGACCCAAAGACACAGCGUGCGGUGGACGACGGCUCGACGCCGACGUAUGACGACUUCAUUGUCGAGUACGCCCACUUCAAGGAAGCCGGGGGAGCAACCAGCUCCUCUUCGCCGGGCACGCCUACCCCGGCCCCCAAAACCACAUCGACUCCGGUGCCUGCUACGCCGACGGCACCACAACCGGCGAGGCCGCACACUCCAGCCCCGGCAGUCACCACCCCGGGCUCAUCUUCAUCAGCACCAGCUCACGCAGAGCACAACCCGACGAAGUUCGCUUCUCCGCUCACUCACGACGAGGAGCGGAUCGACGCGUAUUACGGCGGCGAACCGCUGCGGUAUCGUACGAUGGAAGAUCUACUCGGCGACUAG